rnacentral:lncRNA from 1 species
ACACUGCGAAGCGCUCUGACCUUAGACCGAGCAAUUAAUCACCAAUAAAAAGAAAAAAAUAGUGAAUAAAAUAGAAGGGUGUGGACAUUCUUUGGGACCUUGGCUUUUAGUGGGACUUGAGUGACGGGGUGUUAGUUUUAAACUUUUACGAUUCUUGAUGGGGAUUCUGUGGAAGUAGUAGUUUUUGUCUUGUCUCAAGAAAAGAGCAUGCUUGCACACACUGGCACUCCACACUUGUAAAUAGAAGAGUAAUUGACUUAGUAGCGAGAGAGAUGAAAUUUGAGAACAUUAGCACAAUCUGAGGUAUUAUAAUUGGCAAGGCAAUUACUUCAUAGUUCACUCAUUCAUCACGUAGUUGCAUUCAUGCAUUGCAUUGUAUUAUUGUAUAGUGUCGUUGACGCUUGAGGACAAGCAUCAGUUUAAGUUUGGGGGUGUGAUAAGUGGUAUUUAUACACACUUAUAGGCCUUCAUUUCCACUUAAAUUGGUUGGUUGUACUUAAGUGUUUAGUGUCUUUUGAUGUGUUUUUAGUGUUUUUCUGUGCAGGUCACGAGUUGAGGUGAUGAAGUGAUUUUCUAUCAUUUUAGGUUGUUUUUGGUGCAUUAUUUGCAAGAAUAGAGAAUUGUGGAUUCAUCACGACUUGGGAUUUUGUGGGUACAUCUUCUACAAACCCUCACGAGAACACACUCGUCCACUAGAGCUAUCUAGGGGUUUAAAGGGCUUGUUGCAUGUGCUAAAUGCAACCGUGAUCACCUACGGAAGUGGUACUAGAGCGAGGAAGGGCAUG